rnacentral:lncRNA from 1 species
AACAACAUUAUCAUAUGAACAUGAAUACAUCAUUUAUGCAGCAUAUCAGCAUAUGUACAUAUCAUAUUCAAUUUCAAACAACAUUUGCCAUCCGAAAAAGAAAAGAAAAAAAAAUAAAAAACCCUAAAGAUCGAUCUACCCAACCCAUUCAUCCAUUAAUUUCAAAUACAGGCUGGCAUCUAAAAUCACAAUAAUGAUUACAAGAUCCAUACCCAUAUUCAAAACAAAAACACCAUACAACCCCAACCCAACAAAUUAUUAAAAAAAAUAAAAAUAAAAAUAGAGAGUU